AGAGUUUGAUCCUGGCUCAGGAUGAACGCUGGCGGUCUGCUUAACACAUGCAAGUCGAACGGAAGUAGCAAUACUUUAGUGGCGGACGGGUGAGUAACGCGUGAGAAUCUACCUUCAGGACGGAGACAACAGUUGGAAACGACUGCUAACCCCCGAUGUACCGCAAGGGCAAAUAUUUAUAGCCUGAAGAAGAGCUCGCGUCCGAUUAGCUAGUUGGGGGGGUAAAAGCCCACCAAGGCGACGAUCGGUAGCUGGUCUGAGAGGACGAUCAGCCACACUGGGACUGAGACACGGCCCAGACUCCUACGGGAGGCAGCAGUGGGGAAUUUUCCGCAAUGGGCGCAAGCCUGACGGAGCAAGACCGCGUGGGGGAGGAAGGCUCUUGGGUUGUAAACCCCUUUUCUCUGGGAAGAACAAAAUGACGGUACCAGAGGAAUCAGCAUCGGCUA
rnacentral:rRNA from 1 species